UAGAGGUAUGUUCCGGUUUGCAUGAUGGGGGCGGCUGUACGGAAGGGAAGAAAACGGAAUUUAUUCCAGCGCGUGAGAUAUUUAGAGAGGAUGUUAACCCUAGACCAGACGCGUGGUCUACAAUAGUAGACCAGCUAUGUUGACUCCCUCCAGUGAUUGUAUGGAAUUUUUUCGGUUCAGCGGCAACAAGCAACCGGAAUCAGACAGUCCAGGGAUUUUUUAAGAGGACCCCUUGGCAAAUAUGGGUCUCCUCUAAGCUUCUAAAACUGAAUAGAACCCAGAUUAGGGAAUAUUACCGGUGUCCUUUAUGGGGUACUGAAUGGGCAACUAUCACCUGCACAGUAUUGGGCUUUGGAGGAGCCCACGCACAGGUUCUGUGAAAAGGCAGAUGAAACUACCGAGCUUGUGGUCUGUCAUUGUGACGCCUUGAUCAGAGACAGACAUGAACUCCUUGGAGAUCGGGGAGGGUGAAGCAACUUAGGAUAAACAGUGUCCUAUCCUUCAUUGAGAGGACAGGGCUCUGAACCGAGUUGCGAAAGAAAGGAGGUAGAUCUUUGGCAGAGAGUAAGUACGCUAUUGCUUUUGUGAAAUAUAUUAUCAUUGAAAUGCUGCAAUUAGUUUUUCAGUUGACAGGGCAACGUUGUCUUGCUUGAUGUUACAAAGUGAGCUUAUUGACGGAUGCUAUCUUUUAAAAGCAUGUGCAGUGAGUAACGUGUAUUGCCAAUGAUACUGCUCUUCUCCAUACUCAUCAAUGAAUACUUUGUCUGUGCUUCGCAUGACGUUGCAUUGUUCAGAGGCAAACUCAUCUUCCAAAUGCUUGGGUACAUCAACGUAGUUAAUUGCUUUCAUAAGCCCUACAAUAUUAGGUAUUAGUUAGAUAAAUGCAAGAAUAUGGGUUGAGUACACCCUCAAAAUUGUCUCUGCUAGUAGGGAAUACUUUUCGUUCUUCAAUGCAGUGACUAAUAAUAAAACCAAGAUCCCCUAAAACGUUUUCAAAAUCGUGCUUGUAAUUUUUACCAUUUUGAAAUGGGCUCAUUCUAGAUUUGUAGUCAUGAACGUAUGGGUGCCAUUUUUGUGUGUUUAGCAGCUGCUCGUAAAUGUCGAACAAGUACUGAUAAGAUAUUACAUUCACGAACAUGUCUCCUUUUGGCUUUAACAUUUUAUGAAUGUUAGAAAUUGCUUUUCUAGGAUAUACGUAAUUAGUUAGAACAACGUGGUAAAAAUACUCACCGAAGAUCUGGUGCAAAAUGAAGACAGUAAAAAGAAAAUACAUGAUCAAAACUUUGCAGUAGAUGAGAGGGAAUGCUGCUGGUGCCGAUAUCUAACCGUUCAAAUGAAAUCCUGUCGUCAUCUUGAUGGAACUGUUUCGCAAAGUCGAUCAUAUCAGAA